rnacentral:tRNA from 1 species
GCGCGGGUGGUGAAAGUGGUAGACACGCCAGCUUCAGGUGCUGGUGAUCGCAAGGUCGUGGAAGUUCGAGUCUUCUCCUGGGCGCCA